rnacentral:rRNA from 1 species
GACGAACGCUGGCGGCGUGCUUAACACAUGCAAGUCGAACGGAAAGGCCUCUUUCGGGGGGUACUCGAGUGGCGAACGGGUGAGUAACACGUGAGUAACCUGCCCUUGACUUUGGGAUAACUUCAGGAAACUGGGGCUAAUACCGGAUAGGAGCUCCUGCUGCAUGGUGGGGGUUGGAAAGUUUCGGCGGUUGGGGAUGGACUCGCGGCUUAUCAGCUUGUUGGUGGGGUAGUGGCUUACCAAGGCUUUGACGGGUAGCCGGCCUGAGAGGGUGACCGGCCACAUUGGGACUGAGAUACGGCCCAGACUCCUACGGGAGGCAGCAGUGGGGAAUAUUGCACAAUGGGUGGAAGCCUGAUGUAGCAACGCCGUGGGCGGGAUGACGGCCUUCGGGUUGUAAACCGCUUUCGCUCAUGACGAAGCUUUGUGUGACGGUAGUGGGUAAAGAAGCACCGGCUAACUACGUG